ACUAUUUUGGCAGAUAAAUGUAAUGAUUUUAGAAGUCAUAAAUAUAUAAAUUAAAUUAUAUAUGUAGUA
rnacentral:tRNA from 1 species